UACGUAGGGUGCGAGCGUUAAUCGGAAUUACUGGGCGUAAAGCGUGCGCAGGCGGUGAUGUAAGUCAGAUGUGAAAUCCCCGGGCUCAACCUGGGAACUGCAUUUGAGACUGCAUCGCUGGAGUGCGGAAGAGGGGGAUGGAAUUCCGCGUGUAGCAGUGAAAUGCGUAGAUAUGCGGAGGAACACCGAUGGCGAAGGCAAUCCCCUGGGCCUGCACUGACGCUCAUGCACGAAAGCGUGGGGAGCAAACAGG
rnacentral:rRNA from 1 species